rnacentral:lncRNA from 10 species
CCCGGCCGUAGCCCCACCCCGGAAGUUCUUGCCCCGCCUUCUCGGCUCCGCAGUUCUCUGCUGUCUCCUGAGGUUUGCCAGGGAGAUCCCGUGGUUUUCAUGUCUCUUCCGUGAUUUUUAGGGAAGAGGGUCACUAUUUGGCCCUUCCAGAAUCUCAGGGUCCGGUUCUCCCGGAAGUUUCCGGGCCGCCCCGGACCCCAUUGGCUUUAGGGGCCGCGUCUCCGAGGGCUCCGAUUUGGGCCCUAGAUUUUGGAAUACUGUGUUUUGUCCGUCCCAGCCUUCACCAGGCGGAUUUCAUCUCCCACACAGUUAGUGAUUUAUGGCAGAAAGGAAGCUGGAGGGAUGGGGACUGCAGGUUAGCUGUGAGGGCCGGAAGGGAGCGGUUUUGUGCUGCACACAGGCAGGUCAGCACUCCCAGAGCAGGGACCGCCGGGCGUGCUUUCGGAACCGCUUUUGUCUUUCAAAUGAACGCCCAGCGACAGCAGACGGGAGUUCCAGGACCUUAGAGACCGGCUAAUGCUUCUCUUUAAGUUAGGAAACAGGCGCAGGCGUGUUCAUGGCCUUGCCUAAGGUUACGUGCUGGUUACAGGGCUCCUCCUGCUGCCUCUUAAGAACAGAAAUAAUCUAAUAGGAGGAAUAAAAGGGACUAUUAGGGAGGCUAAUGCUCUUGAAGUUUUAAUACUACUAAAAGUAAAAGCGCUUUUCAGAGUGAAAGGGAAGUGAAAAGGGAAUUUGGGUGGCUGGCUACAUCAGAAGCUUCUGUUCCAACUUUAGAUUGUCAGGGAGUUGAGAUGGUGUUUUUUGUUUUUAUUUUUGUUUUAGUUUUUUGAGACGGAGUCUCGCUCUGUAGCCCAGGCUGGAGUGCAGUGGCGG